ACAAUUAAUCCUGUCAGGCCAGAAGAGUUAACUUUUAUAUGUAUGUGUAUAUGAAUGCUGGAAUAAGACCCACCUACAGCAGAGGCCUCAUUACUAAGGAGUGUGUCGUCCUCAGGCGAUCCACUGAGCUGAAGAAACAGGAGUAUGCCUGGGAGCAGACAGACAGCAGUCCUAAUGAACUCAACGGUGUGCUCUGCAGUACUUUUGACCUACCUGCCUGCCCGCCAAAACCACCUUCCGGAUACCUGCCACUCUGCUUGUUUUGGACAAUAAAACGACCCCUUGAAACCAGCUCCUGUGUUUGUGUGUUGCACUUGGGUCCAACCUUAAGUGGAAUCGUGACACUCUCUAAACAAAUAAUUCUCUUGUGUAAAUUAUGUCAUUCAUAUAACUGGGACUUGUCUCUUGCCUGAACCACUUCCUGCCAGCAACCAGUCUCCUCACCAAUUACUUGUAUUUCAUUUCAGACACGACAGUAGUGAGGGAGGCGAUAUCUUCCUACAUAAGGGCCUUAGAAGUCGCCGAUGCCCUUUGAAAUAAUUAUGAAGAGAGUACCAGAGGAACAUGCUGCUUCAUCUCAAAGUAAAUGGGACGUUUACCUGCUACACACAUUUACUUUUGGAUGAUCCGUCCCCCUUUAAUGUUUUUUAAUUAUAAUUUCAGUGAAAACCCAGCUGCUAUAGUUGCAUUAGAUCCGUAAAGAAAACUCUGUCUCUCAAAGUUUUCGUUCCCUUUGGCACUAACGAUCGUUCUUUUUUUAUGUUUUAGGUCCCUACAUUAUAACUACUUCUUCUGUGUCUUGACUCUGUUACUUGCAGUUUCUUGGAAAAAGGAGGAAAGAUCACAGAAAAGCACCUGCUGUGAUGACAGCAGUAGAGGUGAUAGUAGAAUGUUUGUAGCUAUAAAUAAAGUCUCAAGACUUUCUCUACGAAAAGUACAACCCCAUAAAGUUUCUGUGCAACAGCUUAUUACAACCUUAUUCAUUUAUUCACAUAAGAUCUUCAUUAUGUCCAUUGUAAAUAUGAUGGAAGACAUAGCAGAAGUCUAUAAAAAAGAGAGAGCUGGUUUUGGGGCAAUGAAUGCAGGUCAAACAAUGUCAGGACUUUCCCCUUGUAGUCCAGGAUUAAAGUUCUGUGUGACAGCCACAGGAAGAUGCUCUAAGACUCCAUCAAACCUCCACACGUGGGGGUUGGCCGAGAGGCCCAGUUGCAUCCUCUGCGGAAGGCCAGCUAACCUUGAGCAUGUCCUCUCCUCGUGUCGGUCAAGUCCGACGGUUGGGAAAUUCUGGUGGCGACAUGACCAGAUUUUGACACAACUGACUGGUGGUGUGGAGCAGGCCAGACUGAAGCAAAAACAACUUCCUAAUGGUCCUUGUUUCAUCAACUUUCUCAGACCAGGGGAAAGUGCAAAAACAGCAGAGUUGAGGAGCAAAGGGGCCACAGGAACGGCAAGCGACUGGAAGAUGUGGGCUGACCUUCAGAAGCAGUUCCUUACCAACCUCAGACCCAACAUAGUCCUCUGGUCUAAAGGUACCAAGCAGGUGAUCAUUAGUCUUAAAUUAAAUGACUGGAUGGCCCUACCUGCCUAUCUGUUCACACUUUGAUGGGCACUCUUGGUGCACCACACCAUCUCACCAGCUCCAGUUAGUUUGAUGGGUACAUAAUAAAGGAGAAAACUUUGAAAAGUGGCUUGUCAAAGUUCACAGUAGUUUCACUUCAUUUAGCAACGACAUGAGAUUGGUUUUCCAACAGAAGUGAAUGUUUUUCUCUUAGCAUGCUUAUGAUGACACACAACUGUAUACCUCAGCAUCAUCACAUGACUACAGUCCUUUACACUCACAGAAAAAAAUGUGGUGAUGGAAUGUGGUGAUGAGUGGAUGUGCCAAAUUUUGCGACAGUUAAAUAAAGACUGAAGUAUUCAUUCUUGACGAAAGUACUAAGAAUCAAAUUUCUGUCAGCAGAAAAAGGAGAAACUUGUUCAUGCUUUCAUUAUUUGCAGGGUAGAUUAUUGUAUCGCUGCUUUCACAGGACUGACUUAAAAAUCAAUCAGACAGCUGCAGCUCAUCCCGUAUGCUGCCUUCAGAGUCCUUUUCACCAAGUAGAACAGAUUACAUCAGUCCUCAUAUCGUUACACUUUCUUCCUGAUGUGAGUCAAAGGAUUUUAAAGUCUUACUUGAAAUUAAUAAAGCACAAAAUAUGGGAUGCCCAGACCCUUCAGAUUCUCUGGGGCAGGUUUACUCAGUGUUCCCAGCACCAGGACCAAACAAGAGUGAGGUAUUUUUUUAGGCUCCUCAGCUGUGGAACAAACGAGAACCUCAGGUGUUCUCAAUCAGGUCUUUAAACAUAUGUAUUCAUUGUUGCCUUUUUAUAAGUCCAAUCACUCCUUAUCUACUUACACUUAAUUCUUUGAUUUAAUUAAGUCAUCUUUAACUAUUUUUGUUUUUAAAUGCUCUCUUUCUUUAAUCCUUUACUUAUUUUUUUAAUUUAAAAACUAUGUAUUCUUUUUUUUUUGUUGCCAAUUUAAACUUUUUUUUCUUUCUCUUUUGGAUUUCAACACAUGUUGUAUCUUAUGCGUAUUUUAUAUCACAUCUCUAUGUAUGCUCCUAAACAUUCUCUUUUAAACUUCACCCCUCAGCAGGCAUAGAGUCCCAGUGCGGACCAAGUCUGGAAAUCGGUCUGGUAGCUGGAGAAAUGCCAGUUCACUUUCAAAAAAAUCAAACCCACCCCCACCAGCUGAGGAGCGGCUGUUAGCAGCCCCCUCUCUCUGACAUCUCUCCAUUAGGUCAUGUCCAUAGGAUCAUGUGCAUGUGUGUGUUUGUAUUUCAGCCUAUGUGUGUGUAACAUGUUCGACAACAGAGUUAUUGGAUUAAUGAAUUAAUCAUUUUCGACAUCAUAUCGACAAUUUUUAAUCAUUUCAUGUGCUCUUUUUUUUUUAAACAUUAUGCUUUGCAAUUUUAAAUAAAGAAGGCAAGCAAUAAACAACACCGUUAAAUGGAUCCCACAAUAAAUUGUUGAAUGGGAGACAUAUGCAUAUGUGAAAUAAGACAAAUCUACUCACAUGUUAAUGGAAUUAUAAAGCUUGAUGAGGAAUGUCAAUUAAGCUUAUGCAAUGGUCAAGGUGGGUUGAUCAAGUUGUUUACAGUUAAAGUAAUCAGUGUAUUGCUUCACAUUAAUUGAAUGAAUAAAACCAAAGGACCGGGAUUAAAAAUGUAAUCUAUGGCAAUUCUGUAACAGAAAAAUAUACGAUUACAAAACGCAUAUAUUUUAAAUCAUGACAGACUGAGAAAAGUUACUGGAGCUUAAUCACAGCUUUUGCUUCACUUGUGAUAUUAAACUGCAAUCUGGUCCAAAAUG